GAUGACAGGGAGACCGGCUCUGCAAUGCUUUACACAUGAGAACUGCAAUAAUCGCUAUUAUUCGGUGUGAUGGUGUGUGGCUUAUAGCGUCUGUGACUUGACAAUCAAGUAAUGAGCUAUUGAUGAGGGAAAUGAACCCGAUGACAGCUGAGGCUGGAGACUAUUAACAUAGAAGCCUUUCCUGCUGAAUGUUAUCACCCGGGACUCUGGUAAUAGCUAAUAAUUAUAGCCACAUUUAUUGAGAUGUUACUCUGUGCUGAGUGCUUUAUACGGAUUAUUACAUGCAAGUCUCACAACUCUAUGAAAAGUUUAUUACUAUUCUGUUACAGAUAAGGAAUCUGGACGGACAACAACAAAUACCACCAAGUGCUGGGAAAUGGGAGCUCCAGGCACAUUCAUCACUAGAAAGGUGUGGGCUUCCCAUCCAUGACAUCUCUACACUCCCUACAAGGAGGCAUGCUCAGUUUUCUGUGUCCUCAGAGGUGAAAGUUGCCUGGAGGGUUUUAAUUGCCAGUCCUGAGAAAAGAGUGCCCAGCAAAGGUUUCAAGUCCGCUUUAUGGGAGGUAAUGCUAACUUGCGGUCCCCAUGCCAGUGAUGUUUGAAAAGGGAUUGCAAUGAUUACCAUUCUCCAACACUGCCAUUCCUUCCUCAAUUUAUAGCCCAUGCUUAGCAGCUGAUCAUGCUGGUGCCUGCCUCCACCUCCCACACUGAUACUGUGAGUGCAAGUAAUUCAUCUUCAAAUGUAUUACUCAAGUGUCAACAGAGCUAGGUCCGUCCAAGCAAUAUCAGAGUCCAAUUAAAGCAGGAACUUGCAAAGUAAGUGAAUGAUAUUUUACCUAGAUGAAUUUCUCAGAUGAUGAUGGUCUAUGUUUUGUUAGUAAAGUCUGAAAAAUUAUGUAGCUUGGGAAAACUGAACAAGUUAAGUUCAGGCAACUUUGUUUUUAUUAAUGUGUUCAUUCCACAGAUAUUCCAGAAUGUCUACUACGUGGAAGCAGCUGACGGGCCUCACAGGAAGACCCUGUGUUCCCCACCAGCAGAGUGGUGUCUUAAAUAAAGUUCCCCAGGAACAGCCUACUGAGAUGGAAGUUUGUGAGCAGGAGGCGUAUUAGAGGUGCUCUUGGUAUUAAUACCCGUAAGGCAGUGAGUGGAGAAAGAUUGACAAGAAGAAGAAGAUGAAUAGCAAUGCAGUUGUGGCAAAGACCUGAGCUCAUCCCACAGGGAGGUCUGGAUGAAGGAUAAUCUUCUGUCUUUGUCCUGAGGUAAAGCAAGGAGCUCAGGCCUCCGCAUCUCUACUUGACCAGCCACGGUGAUUUAGCUGGUCCUGAGGAAAGGUCAUAACCUUGGGCAAGGCAGGUCCCCUCACUCAAGAAACUUCCUGUAGAGUGACUCAGCUGUGAACAGUCUGCAGACAGUACUCCUGGAAACUAGGGAAUGAGUUCUUCAGUUCUGAGGGAAAUCCAAGCACCUCAUCACUGUGUCCACUACAGGCAGCAGAGUUAAAAAUGUCUAGCUUGACUUUGGUCAAGGGAGAAUUAGAAAGUACCUGUCUUGUGAUGCAUGGGUGGUUCAGUUGGUUAAGCAUCUGCCUUUGGCUCAUGUCAUGAUCUCAGGGUCCUGUGACUGAGUCCCGGGUUGGGCUCCCUGCUCAGUGAGGAGUCUACUUCUCCCUCUCUCUGUGCCCCUCCCCCUUCUCUUGCUCUCUGUCUCUCAAAUAAAUAAAUAAAAUCUUUAAAAAAAAAAAAAGAAGUACCUGUCUUGAAGCCCUACUGCUAUUCCAAACAUAUGAUGACAAAAGAUAAAAUAUAGCAAGUAAUAAGCAAA
rnacentral:lncRNA from 1 species